UCUAAUGGUAGAGCAGCGGUCUCCAAAACCGACGGUUGAGGGUUCGAGUCCUUCUGCCC
rnacentral:tRNA from 1 species